rnacentral:rRNA from 1 species
AGGCUUUGAUCCUGGCUCAGGACGAACGCUGGCGGCAUGCCUAAUACAUGCAAGUCGAACGCCGACGCACUCUGCUUGCAGAGUGUUGAGGAGUGGCGAACGGGUGAGUAACACGUGGAGAACCUGCCCAUAAGAGGGGGAUAACAUCCGGAAACGGGUGCUAAUACCGCAUAGGUGGCUGGAGCGCAUGCUCUAGUCAUGAAAGACGGCUUCGGCUGUCGCUUAUGGAUGGCUCCGCGGCGUAUUAGCUAGUUGGUGAGGUAAUGGCUCACCAAGGCAGUGAUACGUAGCCGACCUGAGAGGGUGAUCGGCCACACUGGGACUGAGACACGGCCCAGACUCCUACGGGAGGCAGCAGUAGGGAAUCUUCCACAAUGGGCGAAAGCCUGAUGGAGCAAUGCCGCGUGAGUGAAGAAGGUUUUCGGAUCGUAAAGCUCUGUUGUUAGAGAAGAACAAGAGGUGUAGUAACUGGCACCUCCUUGACGGUAUCUUACCAGAAAGUCACGGCUA